GGGGGUAUAGCUCAGCUGGGAGAGCGCUUGCAUGGCAUGCAAGAGGUCAGCGGUUCAAGUCCGCUUAUCUCCACCA
rnacentral:tRNA from 1 species